UACGUAGGGGGCAAGCGUUGUCCGGAUUUAUUGGGCGUAAAGGGCUCGUAGGCGGUCUGUUGCGUCGGGAGUGAAAACUCAGGGCUUAACCCUGAGCCUGCUUCCGAUACGGGCAGACUAGAGGUAUGCAGGGGAGAACGGAAUUCCUGGUGUAGCGGUGAAAUGCGCAGAUAUCAGGAGGAACACCGGUGGCGAAGGCGGUUCUCUGGGCAAUAACUGACGCUGAGGAGCGAAAGCGUGGGGAGCGAACAGG
rnacentral:rRNA from 1 species